ACUGGAUUCUCUACAGGGGUCAAUUUUACCCGCUGGCGCUUACAGUGUUCUCAUCAUGGCUAUUCCCUGGAAAUGUACAAGAAAGAGGAGGAGGCGGGCACAGAAGACAAGCAGAGAGCAAGAACGGCUUCCCAGAUGGGUUGUACCACAUCGAUUGACUGCUGCAUUGGCUCCCAGUUAAAUCCCGCAUGGAUUUCAAGACUCUUCUCCUGACCUUCAAGGCCAUUCACAACCUCGCUCCUCUGUACCUCACUGACCUCCUUUACAUUAACACACCCACGCAUACUCUUAGGUCUUCUUCUGCUAUUCACCUCACUGUACCUCCUGCUCAUUUGACCACCAUGGGGUUCAAAGCCUUCAGCUGAUCUGCCCCUCGUCUCUGGAACUCUCUUCCACCAGACAUCUGCAACAUUGACGCUUUCCAUUUUUAAAUCCCGCCUGAAAACACAUCUUUUUUUGUUUCCAGUUGUUAUGUACCCUGAUUUUAU